rnacentral:piRNA from 1 species
UGUCAGUGUCACCAUCAUAAGUGAACCUUGG